AAACUACUAGUUUUAAGAUAAUCUUCAUAGAUACAUAAUUUUAAAUAAGUUUACGUAAUUUUGAUGUAUUAAGCUAAAAAAUUCCAAAACAAAGUAAACCCUAAUUCUGUCAUCUUCCUCUCAUCUCAAACUCACAUCAACUCCACCACCCACCCUCUUCUUCACGCCGCCGCUGCUGCCGUCCACGCCGCAGCUGCUGGCGUCGCCCUUGCUGCUGCCGUCGUUGUCAGCCGCUGCUCCGUCUCAGAAUUCUGUUAGCUGACAAACUGAUACAGAGAGGGUCAACAUAAGAUUAUCCCAAAGACUGGCCAGCCAAUACCCUCAAGUGACGGCGACUUACUCUUUGGUUAGAUCACCCUGACGCAGGAGAUAAUGUCUCAAGAUGAAGCCACAGCCCUAAAGAAGGCUUUACAGAAGUGUUUGGAGGAGAACAAAGAGGAUCAUAACAAAUGUAAAUCCAAGAUGGAUACCUUCGUUUCUUUUCCUCCUAAUUCUCGUCCGGGAAAGCUGUUGCCACCUCUAAGGCUCAGGAGUGGUUCUUUGACUGAUGUGUAAAUCAAGAAAGUAGUGGUAACCCACUUUUCAAUAUUCUAUGGAUGUAAUCAUUUCCUUAUAAUUAUUCUAUGAAGUAGGCCAUUGAAGGAGUCAAACUGCCUGAA